rnacentral:rRNA from 1 species
CUCAGUACGGCGAGUGAACAGGGAAAAGCCCAGCACCGAAGCCUGUGGCCAUUUGGUUACUAGGCAAUGUGGUGUUUAGGUCGUUCCACAGAGGUUCUGCUCCACCCUAAGUCCAUCAAUGAGUACGGUAGUAUGGACAUGGCCCGCAGAGGGUGAAAGGCCCGUGGGGGUGGAGACAUAAUGGCCAGAGCCUCUCUGGGUAGACCUUGGAGUCGGGUUGUUUGUGAAUGCAGCCCAAAGUGGGUGGUAAACUCCAUCCAAGGCUAAAUACUUGCACGAGUCCGAUAGCGAACAAGUACCGUGAGGGAAAGUUGAAAAGUACUUUGAAGAGAGAGUAAACAGUGCGUGAAACCGCUCAGAGGUAAACGGGUGGAGUUGAACUGCAAGCUUUGAGAAUUCAGCUGGUGAGUAUGGUUUGAGCUGGGUUAAUUGGUGAACUCCGGAGUCUGCGUAUUAGCAGGUCUUCAUCUUCGGAUGGAGAUGCGCGGUGCACUCAUCAAGUGUUGUGCGCUCCGGUUUUUAUACCACCUGCUCGUCAGUGCACUUUCUCAAAGUAGUCACCUCGAUCGGCAUUGCUGUCCGGCGAACACGGUUAAACCUUUUUUGCAUUGUCUUGACCGGCUUUGUAAAAUCGGGAAGGCAGGUAGCUCGUUGGCUUGCUUGUAGCUCGCUACAGGCGUUCGGUCUUCGAGUGUAUGCUGACCGUACUAGCAUUGUGCAGUAUGUCGGAGACGGCGGCUUGUGGUGUGUGCAUGUGUAAUCAUUUGCUGACUUGUCCGGGUUUGGUUAUUUAGUUGCCUGUAAAAGCAGGCCUGGUGAUGGCCCGGGUGUGUUCGGUGGAUGUUUGCAUGUGUUUCACUAGUCCAAGGGCCAAUAGUCUGAGGUGUAGUGGUAGACUUUCCACCUGACCCGUCUUGAACACG